CACGCUUCUCUGCCCAAGGAGAGAGUUCACCAAGCGACUCACCUCCAAGGGGUUUCUCCCCAAGGCUGGGUCUGUCUAGUCCUUUUGCUUAGGUUUCCAGCCCUUCCAUGCGCAAACGAGGACGCUUCCUAGUUAACCAGGCUUAGUUAGAAUGCUAGACUACUUGACCUAAAAACCAGGGCGGGCGGGCCCUCUUCUUGACCAUAAGAGAGUGAGGUGUAAGGAGCGCGAGGGCUCUGGGCCGGAAGAGCCUGGGCACAGAUGCCGACCCCACCAUCUUUCUAGUGCUUUGACCUUGAGCAAGUUACUAAAAUUCUAUUUUACCACCUGUACAUAAGACCUCCUGGGAUAAUUCUAAAGCUUGAAUAACGUAAUGUCUGUGAAAGCACCUGGCACCCAGUACAUACUCAGUAAAUAAUCAUUGAAAGGAGAAGUAAUGAUGAGGGUUUGGGUGGAGGAGGCAUCCUGCGUUUUACCGGUUUCUGAGAUUUAACACAUUCUUAUGAGUUUGUUCCUGCUUAUUAAUCAUUAAUUUACAAAGCAGAUUAUUAAGGAAAAAGUAACUUCAAUCUUCAAGUCCCUCCACCCGCCUCCUAAUAAGUGUUAAAGCUUGGAGUGUAUUCUUACACACUUUUCUCCAUGAUUCUACAGACAGACACAGCUGUGAUCACAAGUACCUAGAGGAUGGCAGAGCCACAAUAUGGAAGGAGUCUGGGUCCCUGUGUCCACUGCAGAGGAGAGCUGCCUGCUGCCUGCUGCAACCUCAGAUGGUUACAGGAGUGAGAAAUAAACUAUGAUUAUGUUUGAGGCAUUGUACUGCAUCAAAUGUCUUUAUUACAACAGCUAGCAUUACUGUAACUAAUGUCAGUCCUUAACAAGGACAGCCAUAGUCCUUUAAGAAAGAGCCGGAACACAAACUCAGGUCUCUGAAGACAAACCACCAUGCAACGCUGCUUCCAGAGGCCUCACCUCUUUUCUGAUAGAAAAUCCUCUCUAGGUCAUUGACUCACCCUUUUUCAGUUCAUGGACCUCUUCAGUUUAGUUCAAGGUUUUUUACUUUUAUUUUUU
rnacentral:lncRNA from 1 species